rnacentral:ncRNA from 1 species
CUUUGCAAUCGCGGGAGCUCGGAGCACCGGGCUGAGAGGGCGCUGACCUCCGUACGAACGGGCAGGAACCGGUUCGGACCGUACGGAAACCGCUGCGUCGACCGCCGAACCUGUUACCGGGUAAUGCCGGCGUAGGGAGUAGGUCUCAUGACCAC